AGAAUCAACGCUGGCGGCGUGCCUAACACAUGCAAGUCGAACGAGAAAGUGGAGCAAUCCAUGAGUAAAGUGGCGCACGGGUGAGUAACACGUGACUAACCUACCCUUGAGUGGGGAAUAACUUCGGGAAACCGAGGCUAAUACCGCAUAACACCUACGGGUCAAAGGAGCAAUUCGCUUAAGGAGGGGUCGCGGCAGAUUAGUAGUUGGCAGGGUAAUGGCCUACCAAGACGGUGAUCUGUA
rnacentral:rRNA from 1 species